rnacentral:rRNA from 1 species
CCUACGGGAGGCAGCAGUGGGGAAUCUUGCACAAUGGGCGAAAGCCUGAUGCAGCGACGCCGCGUGAAGGAUGAAGGUCUUCGGAUUGUAAACUUCUGUUAAACGGGAGAAAAGACUUGUGCCUAAUACGCACAGGGAAUGAUAGUACCGUUAGAGAAAGCACCGGCUAACUUCGUGCCAGCAGCCGCGGUAAU